GAUGAACGCUGGCGGCGUGCCUAAUACAUGCGAGUCGAGCGAACAGACGAGGAGCUUGCUCCUCUGACGUUAGCGGCGGACGGGUGAGUAACACGUGGAUAACCUACCUAUAAGACUGGGAUAACUUCGGGAAACCGGAGCUAAUACCGGAUAAUAUAUUGAACCGCAUGGUUCAAUAGUGAAAGACGGUUUUGCUGUCACUUAUAGAUGGAUCCGCGCCGCAUUAGCUAGUUGGUAAGGUAACGGCUUACCAAGGCAACGAUGCGUAGCCGACCUGAGAGGGUGAUCGGCCACACUGGAACUGAGACACGGUCCACACUCCUACGGGAGGCAGCAGUAGGGAAUCUUCCGCAAUGGGCGAAAGCCUGACGGAGCAACGCCGCGUGAGUGAUGAAGGUCUUCGGAUCGUAAAACUCUGUUAUUAGGGAAGAACAAAUGUGUAAGUAACUAUGCACGUCUUGACGGUACCUAAUCAGAAAGCCACGGCUAACUACGUG
rnacentral:rRNA from 1 species